UAAUAAAAUUUUGAGAUGAAACCACACCAUUCAAUACUAGUAUCCUGCUAUCUAGUAGAUGUACUAUUCAUAGGUACAGCAAUACCCAUUUGCUUGACAUGGAACACUUCGAACACACAUCUUACCGUUAAAUGUUCAGUACCGUCUGCGUCUCAUGACAUUUUAAUUGUUGAUCCUGCUGGUAAAGUUCAUGCACAAUCUAUUUUGCAAGAGCAGCAGCGUUUCACAUACGAUGUAGAUAAACUCGAAAAUUCAACAACCCUUCCGCAUACGACCGUCAAGGACAAGGCUGAAGGGGAAUGGAAAUGUCGACACAGGAACGAGGAAAAAACAUCGCAAGUCUCUUUUACAAAAGGUAUUGGUCCGUUGAUUGAUAUUGACAUAUCUGCUGAGAAAAUGAAAUUGAUGAAGGAAACAGGUUUAUACUUGCAUGCUUUUCCUGUUGGGUACCUCAUACGAAAGGUGUUGAUAUUUUUGUGAAUAAUGUCUUAGAAGACAGUAUUCGCUACGUCGAUGGUCAAUGCUAUCAUAAACUUAAUGAAUGUUCACCACAAAUCUGCACAUGCUCAGCCGAAGGACGAAAAUUUACCUGGGCUUACAUAAGUGAUUUGUCAAAUAUUACGUUUACAUGUGCAAUGAGAUUCAAGGACGAAAUAAAAGCUAUGUAUGUCCAUCAAAAAGCAGACUUAACGUUUAAUGGAACAGUAUUUAUAAAGCACAAGUCUACCUCAGACAAAGAUUCAGAUGAUGAUAAUAUCAACUCGGGCAAAGUUGGAACACAGACUUAUUUAGGACUCAUUGGAUAUUGGAUACUUGGAAUUUUUUGUCUGAUUAUAUCUGGAAUACUAUAAGUAUAUGUGAGAGAAAACGUACAUGUAAUAAGCAGAAAUGAAAAAAAAAUA